rnacentral:rRNA from 1 species
AUUGAACGCUGGCGGCGUGCUUAACACAUGCAAGUCGAACGCGAAAGGGACUUCGGUCCUGAGUAAAGUGGCGCACGGGUGAGUAACGCGUGGAUAAUCUGCCCUUAUGAUUGGAAUAACAGUUGGAAACGGCUGCUAAUACCGGAUACGCUCAAAAUGAACUUUUUGAGGAAAGAUGGCCUCUGCUUGCAUGCUAUCGCAUAAGGAUGAGUCCGCGUCCCAUUAGCUUGUUGGCGGGGUAACGGCCCACCAAGGCAACGAUGGGUAGCCGAUUUGAGAGGAUGAUCGGCCACACUGGAACUGAAACACGGUCCAGACUCCUACGGGAGGCAGCAGUGGGGAAUACUGCGCAAUGGGCGAAAGCCUGACGCAGCGACGCCGCGUGAGGGAUGAAGGUUUUCGGAUCGUAAACCUCUGUCAGAAGGGAAGAAACUACGUUGUGCUAAUCAGCAGCGUACUGACGGUACCUUCAAAGGAAGCAACCGGCUAAACUCCGUGCCAGCA